rnacentral:rRNA from 1 species
UACGUAGGUGGCAAGCGUUAUCCGGAUUCACUGGGUUUAAAGGGUGCGUAGGUGGGCAGGUAAGUCAGUGGUGAAAUCUCCGGGCUUAACUCGGAAACUGCCAUUGAUACUAUCUGUCUUGAAUACCGUGGAGGUUAGCGGAAUAUGUCAUGUAGCGGUGAAAUGCUUAGAUAUGACAUAGAACACCAAUUGCGAAGGCAGCUGGCUACACGAAUAUUGACACUGAUGCACGAAAGCGUGGGGAUCAAACAGG